CUACAGCAAAGGGGUGGCCGACACUCUUAGUCACACCUAACUCCCUUAAUCUGAAAAUUGAUUCGAUUUAGAAUGGAAUUCACAGAAAACGGCGGCACGGAUUCCAACAAUCUUGGUGCAGCAAUGGACGCAGCUAAGUUAGCCGGAUGGCAUUUAAGGGUUUAUUAUCUAACAGUCGGUAGCUGCACCACCAGUGUAAGUCCAUAACAUAACCUCACUAUUUGACGUGUUUACAUCAAGUUUUCAUUUGUUAAAAUAGGGAAGGAAUGGGCGUUGCGUACUUACUUGGCCAAGUGAUUUAUGCAGCAAUAUAAAUUCUUGAUUUUAUAGUGAUCAUCAAGCUGAGAAAAUAGAACGAGUACAUGCCUUUCAUGAAAGACUUUGUUACACAUUGACUGGCCACAUGGUGUUUCUAACAACUUCUGACGCAAAAUCAAAGAGACUCGAAGAAAACCAAAUUUGAGCUAAUACUCAUCGUCAAAGAUCUCUGAUUUAGGGACAUAAAGUUGACUUAGUGAUUGCAUUAUACCUCGCAUCCCCGCAAAUCCCCAUGAUGUCUUCGAUGUAAACAAGCAACGGUACGAGGCGAAAGCUUUCCAAGAUUAGUCAUGAAGAACACAAGAUCUUAAUGUCAAUAACAUACACUUACGAAAAGCACAAGCACUCCAGAGCACGUAGGUUGAAA